rnacentral:rRNA from 1 species
CCCUUAGAUGUUCUGGGCCGCACACGCGCUACACUGAAGGAGGCAGCGUGUACUCCUGGAUCGAAAGAUUUGGGUAACCCGCGAAUCUCCUUCGUGCUAGGGAUUGAGGUUUGCAAUUAUCCUUCAUGAACGAGGAAUUCCCAGUAAGUGCAAGUCAUAAGCUUGCGCUGACUACGUCCCUGCCCUUUGUACACACCGCCCGUCGCUACUACCGAUUGAAUGAUUUAGUGAGGACUUCGGACUGGGACCGAUGCGGCUUUCGGGCUGCGUUGGUAUUUCGGAAAGAUGUCCAAACUGUAUCAUUUAGAGGAAGUAAAAGUCGUAACA